GAAAUAUGAAAAAUCAGUUUAAAAUGUUAGUUCCUAUGGCUUUAUGAUGUAUUAAUAUCAAUUUAAAGCAAAGGUCAAAAUCUAGAACGUCCUAUUAAACUAUGACCUUGACCUCAAUUUCAAGGUCACAAACCAAGGAUCUUAAAUCAAAAGACCCUAGGUCUUUAAUAUGUUUGGUUAAAGAGUAAUAUCACUUUACGGGUAAACCUAAAUAUAAGAUGGGCAAAAAACUCCCAUUUAUUAUCUGCGCACCCUUUCAACCAAAAUAUACAAGUAAGGACAUGUUGCAACUAACAAUUUAUGAAAAAUUAUUUGUCGAUAUGUCAUACGGUAUUUGAAAAUCAGUGAAAAUAAGCAAAAAUCAAAAUUUAGAACAUGACCUUGACCUUUGACCUUGACCUCAUUUUCAUUUUUUAGGACCAAGGACCUCAAAUCUGAAGACCCUAGGUCUCUAUCACUUAUGGUUUACCAGUUAGAAAUGCAUAUUACUUAUAUCAUUUACAUAAGGGGAAAUAACUCUCAUAUGGAGUCUCUGGAAAGCUUCGGUCCAAAUGAAUUGCCUAAUCCUGAUGAUGUAACGAGCAAUUUGGUAAAAUAAAUUUGUCGUAAUCUUUUACGGUUGCGAAGGAGUAGUGGCCACAAGAAAAACAGUGUUUGGGGAGAUAACUCUUACAACGCAAAGUAUUUGGUAACGCAGUUGUCAGUUUUAAAAGCGCAUACACUUUACAAUAUCAUAUUCCAAAUAUCUAAGCGACAUCUUUUGAAACAUCAAUACUACGCAAGAAAAAAAUUAGGCGGAAGAAAAAAAAAAAAAAAAAAAAUAAUUAAAAACCAAUUGUUCAGAGAACAAUUGUAGGUCUUUCCACUAGUAAAGAUCUAUUUUGAUAUUGAAAUAUUAAAAAUCAGUUUAAAAUGUUAGUUCCUAUGGCUUUAUGAUGUAUUUAUAUGAAUUUAAAGCAAAGGUCAAAAUCUAGAACGUCAUAUUAACCUAUGACCUUGACCUCAAUUUCAGGUUCACAAACCAAGGACCUUAAAUCAAAAGACCCUAGGUCUUUAAUAUGUUUGGUUUAUUAGUAAUAUCACUUUACGCGUAAUUCUAAAUGUAAGAUGGGCAAAACUCCCAUUUAUUGUCUGCGCACCCUUUCAAUCAAAAUAUACAAGUAAGGACAUGUCGCAACUAACAAUUUAUGAAAAAUUAUUUGUCGAUAUGUCAUAAGGUAUUUGAAAAUAAAUGAAAAUAAGCCAAAAUCAAAAUUUAGAAUAUGACCUUGACCUUUGACCUUGACCUCAUUUUUAUUAUUUUGGACCAAGGACCCCAAAUCUAAAGACCCUAUGUGUUUAUCACUUAUGGUUUACCAUUUAGAAAUGCAUAUCACUUAAUUAAAUGGAAAAGGGGGAAUAACUCUCAUAUGGAGUCUCCGUAAAGCUUCAGUCCAAAUGAAUAUCCUAAUCCUGAAGAUGUAACGAGCAAUUUGGUCAAAUAAAUUUGUCGUAAUCUUUAAUGGUUGCGAAGGAGUAGUGGCCACAAGAAAAACAGUGUUUGGGGAGAUAACUCUUACAACGUAAAGUAUUUUGUUACACAAUUCUAAAUUUUUAAAGCGUAUAAACUAUACGAUACCAUAUUCCAAAUAUCUAAGCGACAUCUUUUGAAACAUCAAUAAUACGCAAGAAAAAAAUUAGGCGGAAGAAAAAAAAAAAAAAUAAUAAUAAUAAUAAUCAGAACAAAUUCAAUAGGUCUUUCCACGGAAAGGUGGAAAGACCUAAUAAUCAGAACAAAUUCAAUAGGUCUUUCCACGGAAAGGUGGAAAGACCUAAAUAUACAA
rnacentral:lncRNA from 1 species